rnacentral:rRNA from 1 species
GNUAGAANCGCUGGCGGCGUGCCUAAUACAUGCAAGUCGAGCGAACUGAUUAGAAGCUUGCUUCUAUGACGUUAGCGGCGGACGGGUGAGUAACACGUGGGCAACCUGCCUGUAAGACUGGGAUAACUUCGGGAAACCGAAGCUAAUACCGGAUAGGAUCUUCUCCUUCAUGGGAGAUGAUUGAAAGAUGGUUUCGGCUAUCACUUACAGAUGGGCCCGCGGUGCAUUAGCUAGUUGGUGAGGUAACGGCUCACCAAGGCAACGAUGCAUAGCCGACCUGAGAGGGUGAUCGGCCACACUGGGACUGAGACACGGCCCAGACUCCUACGGGAGGCAGCAGUAGGGAAUCUUCCGCAAUGGACGAAAGUCUGACGGAGCAACGCCGCGUGAGUGAUGAAGGCUUUCGGGUCGUAAAACUCUGUUGUUAGGGAAGAACAAGUACAAGAGUAACUGCUNGUACCUUGACGGUACCUAACCAGAAAGCCACGGCUAACUACGUGCCANCAACCCCGGUAAUACGUANGUGGGCAAAGCGUUAUNNNNAAAUAUUNGGGCGUAAAGCCGCGCGCNGGCNGGUUNCUAAANUCUGNUGUGAAANAC